CACAAUCUCAAUUUUGACCUUGGGCAGGAAGUCCACGAUGUAUUCAGCGCCGCGGUACAGCUCGGCGUGACCCUUCUGCCGGCCAAAGCCCUUGGCCUCGGUGACGGUGAUGCCUUGAAUUCCAACCUCCUGAAGGGCUUCUUUCACCUCGUCGAGCUUGAAGGGCUUGAUGAUGGCCUCGAUCUUUUUCACUGAACGUCUCCCCGGCACUUCUACUGGCCUGUCUGUACUUCCAUAUCGCGCGAUGGACGCGCUCGUCACGUCGGUUCGUCGUCACAUCGUGGCCGCGGGAAGGUGAACAACCCGGAAAACGAUAGCUGGCCCGCCUGGCUUCUGCCGGUGAGCGAGACAAUCCGAAAGCCUCCCCUUAAAAGCAGGGUCUGUGCCAAUUUAUUAAGACGUGGAAUUGGGCA
rnacentral:misc_RNA from 1 species